CCUACGGGCGGCUGCAGUGAGGAAUAUUGGUCAAUGGACGGAAGUCUGAACCAGCCAUGCCGCGUGCAGGAAGACGGCCCUAUGAGUUGUAAACUGCUUUUGUACGGGGGUAAACCUGAGUACGUGUACUGAGCUGAAAGUACUGUAUGAAUAAGGAUCGGCUAACUCCGUGCCAGCAGCCGCGGUAAUACGGAGGAUCCGAGCGUUAUCCGGAUUUAUUGGGGUUAAAGGGUGCGUAGGCGGAUGGAUAAGUCAGAGGUGAAAGGUCGGAGCUCAACUCGGGAACUGCCUUUAGUACUGUGUGUCUAGAGUGCAGGUGCGGUAGGCGGAAUGCAUGGUGUAGCGGUGAAAUGCGUAGAGAUCAUGCAGAACACCGAUGGCGAAGGCAGCUUACUGGACUGUAACUGACGUUGAGGCACGAAAGCGUGGGGAGCAAACAGGAUUAGAUACCCCUGUAGUC
rnacentral:rRNA from 1 species